AUUGAACGCUGGCGGCAUGCCUUACACAUGCAAGUCGAACGGCAGCACGGGAGCAAUCCUGGUGGCGAGUGGCGAACGGGUGAGUAAUAUAUCGGAACGUGCCCGGUCGUGGGGAUAACGUAGCGAAAGCUACGCUAAUACCGCAUACGAUCUACGGAUGAAAGCGGGGGAUCGCAAGACCUCGCGCGAUUGGAGCGGCCGAUAUCAGAUUAGGUAGUUGGUGAGGUAAAGGCUCACCAAGCCGACGAUCUGUAGCUGGUCUGAGAGGACGACCAGCCACACUGGGACUGAGACACGGCCCAGACUCUACGGGAGCAGCAGUGGGGAAUUUUGGGACAAUGGGCGCAAGCCUGAUCCAGCAAUG
rnacentral:rRNA from 1 species